UACAGGGGGGGCAAGCGUUGUUCGGAAUUACUGGGCGUAAAGGGUUUGUAGGUGGCUUGCUCAGUCAGAUGUGAAAUCCCUCAGCUUAACUGGGGAACUGCGUCUGAUACUAGCGAGCUUGAGUGCAGGAGAGGAACGCGGAAUUCCAGGUGUAGCGGUGAAAUGCGUAGAUAUCUGGAGGAACACCGGUGGCGAAGGCGGCGUUCUGGACUGCAACUGACACUGAAAAACGAAAGCCAGGGGAGCAAACGGG
rnacentral:rRNA from 1 species